rnacentral:rRNA from 1 species
UGGGGAAUAUUGGACAAUGGGGGAAACCCUGAUCCAGCCAUGCCGCGUGAGUGAUGAAGGCCUUAGGGUUGUAAAGCUCUUUCACCCACGACGAUGAUGACGGUAGUGGGAGAAGAAGCCCCGGCUAACUUCGUGCCAGCAGCCGCGGUAAUACGAAGGGGGCUAGCGUUGUUCGGAAUUACUGGGCGUAAAGCGCACGCAGGCGGUUCGGUUAGUCAGAAGUGAAAGCCCCGGGCUCAACCUGGGAAUUGCUUUUGAUACUGCCGAGCUUGAAUCACGGAGAGGGUAGUGGAAUUCCGAGUGUAGAGGUGAAAUUCGUAGAUAUUCGGAAGAACACCAGUGGCGAAGGCGACUACCUGGCCGUCGAUUGACGCUCAUGUGCGAAAGCGUGGGGAGCAAACAGGAUUAGAUACCCUGGUAGUCCACGCCGUAAACGAUGAGUGCUAGAUGUUGGGGUGCGUGCACCUCAGUGUCGCAGCUAACGCGUUAAGCUACCG